rnacentral:lncRNA from 1 species
AAGUCCUUAUUGGCCUCUGCUGAGAUACCUUCUCUCUCAGUGGCUGUGGUUAUCAGCUGUCUCCAAUGCAUCUCAGUUGAUGGAGCAAGUUGUUACUCCUGCCCAGUCCACCACCACUGCUGCUGGCUGCUGGACCACCCGCUAACCAGAGUGUUUGUUACAAAAUGAAGAUGAAGCAGCUGGAACUUGGGUCUGCGAAGAGAGGCUCUGUCUUUCCUUGCUUGGCCUCUGAAAUAUGUACUCCAGUCAUGAAGCAGAGAAUGUUAUAGAGAAGACAAAGAAUUAAAUGAACCUUCUGAGGACUUCAAGCCUGGCAAGCAGCCUCUCAGACAGCUCCGCCUGCUCCAAAAGAGGUAAAGGAGAAGCCAGAAUAUAUAGGAAUUUUACAACAAAAAAACAGGUGCUAAAUCCCAGCCAUACACCAGUGCUAUAUCAUUACAAGUCAAGGUCUAUUUCUGGGAGUGACUGUGUGUCUGACCAAAGAGAUGAGUAUCGAGGAAGAAGGCCUCCCUCGUCUAGGACACCAUUUUCUGGAAAAAAAUGAACAUCUGUAAGGACAGCCAGCUAGGCUGUUACAAGGCCUCCUCCUUCCAUCACCCCACAGGGAGUAAAUCUGGGCAGGGAAGGACCCAGCCAGAUGUGGAUGUCUGCAUGCUGCUGGGGCAACAUCCCUGCUGCUUGCACAGUUGGAAUAACGUGCCACUAUGAGGUGGCUACUUCGUGAACCGGAGGUUCUCAUUCAGAGUAUAAAUUCAGAGGAAAGACAUCUUCAGGUAAAGAAGGAACAGAAAAUACCAAGUGGUUCUCCACAGGGACCUGUAUGUUUUUCACUACCUAUGGGAGGGAAGUGAAAACCUGUGUUUAGGGAUCCAUUGAAGAAUUUGGUGGUAUUCAUCCUAGUUCAGAGCAACCCCAUGCUGAGCAGAUUGCAUUCCAUCAUGAAAUAAUUGGUAUAGAGGACCUUGAAUAGGCAUGCUCCAUACUUCCAGCAUUUAGUAAAACUCAAAUGGCAGCUGUAAUGACAUUAGUUUAUCACUUCUCAUUCAUCAAAGACUAAAAGUAUUGGAGAAAUUCAUUGGAUAAUAUAACAUCCAUUACACCUUGACUCUGUAUCAGUGAUCAAAGGUGUAAAUACCAUAAGCACGACACUGAUGUUUAUACUCCAAAGUUUGACACCUCACUUUGGGCACAGGAAUAUUAAAAUGUUCUUAGCUAUAAUUCCUCUCCAAAUGUAAAAUUAAUCAUCAAGGCUUUCAAUAGCUUUACUUACUAUGCUGCACCUUAUUUUUUACAACAACCUAAGGAAAUACUCUAGCUACUGAGGCAGUGUUAUUGUAUGCCAAAAGGUGGAGGAGACUGCUAAUAAAGCAAAACCAACCCAAACCAAACCACCACCAACAACAAAACCCAGAAAACCAACUACUGAUAAUGCAGAGGUAAGUUUUUAUUAGGGGUUCUAAAGUGACAUAUGCCAGCUAAAUUAAACUUUUUAAGAUGGUGGAUUAGCCACAGAGUGAAAUCUUUCACACAGACCUCAAAGAAAUCAUAGAAAAGAGUUUUUUAAAAAAUGAUUAAAUACAUAUUUAUGCUUGGAAACCAAAGAAGAGAAUCUCUACAGAUUAGAAAGACAUACCUCAAAAUAGGAAACAAAUAGGAAGCGACAGUGGUAAAAAGAGGCCAAUGCUUUCAGAAAACUAUACUGGUCUAAAGGCAUAUAUAUACACAUAUAUAGGUACAUGUGUAUGUGUGCACACACAUUUGCAGGAAAGAUUUUAUGAAACAUACCAUCUAGUUGUUUAUACUACAAGGGUCAUUUAAAACCUGAACUUUAGGUUCUCCAAAUUUAGGUUAAUAUUGUUGAGAUUUAGGUGAUGUCCUAAGGAGAUCAUUUAGAAUUCAUGAUGGACAAAAAAGUCAUUCUUAGAAAAUGAAAAAACAAGAGCAAGACACCAAGCAUCUGAAAAUCUAACAUGUGAAGGAAGGAAAACACAAUGCACUUAUGGAAGAGUUUAAACUUGGAAAGAAGAGAAAUAAUGCAGCAAUUUGAAAAUGUUUUUAAUAUGUGUAUCUAGUACCCAGGAAGAUAGCAAAUAAAGAUAUAAAUAGUUAUUUGCUUUUUUUAUAAAAAAAUAUAGAAAAUAUGCUAUUGACCAAUGCCAGGCACAUAUUAAACACUUUAUGAAAUUCAGCCAUUAUUUUCUUUCACUAUAAUUUUGGCUUCAUGAAAGCAGAGAAUUUUGUUUGUUUUAUUUACUGCUAUGUUCUCCAGCAUGUAGAAGAAUUUCUUACACAUGGAACAAAAAUUGAACAACUAAUUUUUAGAUAAAAAGGCUCAGAGGAAAUGAACCCAACUAGCAUCCAUGAAGAUGUGGGUUCGAUCCCUGGCCCUCACUCAGUGGGUUAAGGAUUCGGAGUUGCCAUGAGCUGCAGUGUAGGUCACAGACGUGGCUCAGAUCUGGCAUUGCUGUAGCUGUGAUGUAGGCUGGCAGCUAUAACUUGGAUUAGACCCCUAGCCUGGGAACUUCCAUAUGCUACAGGUGUGGCCCUAAGCACCAAAAGAAAAAAAAA